rnacentral:misc_RNA from 1 species
GAAAUGCGAUAAGUAAUGUGAAUUGCAGAAUUCAGUGAAUCAUCGAAUCUUUGAACGCACAUUGCGCCCCUUGGUAUUCCGGGGGGCAUGCCUGUUCGAGCGUCAUUUCAACCCUCAAGCGCGGCUUGGUGUUGGACCGUGCCGGUAACGGCAGGUCCCAAAGCGAGUGGCGGUGCCCGUAGGCCCUGAGCGCAGUACUACUUCCGCUACAGGCGCCCGCGGGUCAACCAGCCAGCGACCCCAACUUUCCAUGGUUGACCUCGGAUCAGGUAGGGAUACCCGCUGAACUUAA